ACCUGAGCAGAGGUACGUUGGAAAAAAUAAAUUAUUACUUAUAAGUUAUGUGAGAGACCGUUGAACAAGCAGCGAUUGUGUACCACAAUGAUUAUACAGGUGCAGGAUCACGCGACUUUGUGCGGUUCCCCUCUUUUAACUUCAAUGGCUGUAAACACGAUGCUCGACAUUGACGGCCAUACUCCAUACUUCUAAAAGAAAGACAUCACAGUGGGGAACAAAAGACAUCUCGUGUUUUACACAGACCGUCUACUAGAGCUGCUAGUCUCGGUGAAAACAUGGUGCAUGGACGGUACAGUCCGAGUCGUGAAGAGUCCGUUUAAGCAACUGUUCGGCAUUCAUGGUUUCGUCAAGUGCGAUGACCGCAUGAAACAGAUCCUACUAGUCUCUGCAUCAUGUCUUUGGGAAGUAAACACUUAUACUAUGAGGUCAUGAGAGCCAUUGAUCGAAGACUACCGAUGGACGUUGCAGUGAAAACAUUCGCAGGCGUUGAGGCAGCGAUUCCCUGGGUGUGACAUUCAAUGGUGUGCAUUCCAUUG